rnacentral:rRNA from 1 species
CAGGCGUGANUUNAGUUUGAUGUGAAAGCCCACGGUUCANCCGUGNAGGUCAUUGAAANUNGAUCACUUGAGUGCAGAAGAGGAAAGUGGAAUUCCAUGUGUAGCGGUGAAAUGCGUAGAUAUAUGGAGGAACACCAGUGGCGAANGGCGACUUUCUGGUCUGUAACUGACGCUGAGGCUCGAAAGCAUGGGGAGCAAACAGGAUUAGAUACCCUGGUAGUCCAUGCCGUAAACGAUGAGUGCUAAGUGUUGGAGGGUUUCCACCCUUCAGUGCUGGAGUUAACGCAAUAAGCACUCCGCCUGGGGAGUACGAUCGCAAGAUUGAAACUCAAAGGAAUUGACGGGGACCCGCACAAGCGGU